rnacentral:rRNA from 1 species
UUAAGUGACUAAGCGUACACGGUGGAUGCCUAGGCAGUCAGAGGCGAUGAAGGACGUGCUAAUCUGCGAUAAGCGUCGGUGAGCUGAUAUGAAGCAUUAUUAGCCGGCGAUGUCCGAAUGGGGAAACCCAGUGCAAUCCGUUGCACUAUCGUUAAGUGAAUACAUAGCUUAACGAGGCGAACCAGGGGAACUGAAACAUCUAAGUACCCUGAGGAAAAGAAAUCAACCGAGAUUCCCCUAGUAGCGGCGAGCGAACGGGGAAGAGCCCAGAACCUGAAUCAGUUUGUGCAUUAGUGGAAGCGUCUGGAAAGUCGCGCGAUACAGGGUGAUAGCCCCGUACACGAAGGUGCACAGCUGUGAGUUCGAUGAGUAGGGCGGGACACGUGUUAUCCUGUCUGAAUAUGGGGGGACCAUCCUCCAAGGCUAAAUACUCCUGACUGACCGAUAGUGAACCAGUACCGUGAGGGAAAGGCGAAAAGAACCCCGGCGAGGGGAGUGAAAUAGAACCUGAAACCGUGUACGUACAAGCAGUGGGAGCAUCCUUCGGGGUGUGACUGCGUACCUUUUGUAUAAUGGGUCAGCGACUUAUAUUUUGUAGCAAGGUUAACCGAAUAGGGGAGCCGUAGGGAAACCGAGUCUUAACUGGGCGUCUAGUUGCAAGGUAUAGACCCGAAACCCGGUGAUCUAGCCAUGGGCAGGUUGAAGGUUGGGUAACACUAACUGGAGGACCGAACCGACUAAUGUUGAAAAAUUAGCGGAUGACUUGUGGCUGGGGGUGAAAGGCCAAUCAAACCGGGAGAUAGCUGGUUCUCCCCGAAAGCUAUUUAGGUAGCGCCUCGUGAACUCAUCUUCGGGGGUAGAGCACUGUUUCGGCUAGGGGGUCAUCCCGACUUACCAACCCGAUGCAAACUACGAAUACCGAAGAAUGUUAUCACGGGAGACACACGGCGGGUGCUAACGUCCGUCGUGAAGAGGGAAACAACCCAGACCGCCAGCUAAGGUCCCAAAGUCAUGGUUAAGUGGGAAACGAUGUGGGAAGGCAUAGACAGCCAGGAUGUUGGCUUAGAAGCAGCCAUCAUUUAAAGAAAGCGUAAUAGCUCACUGGUCGAGUCGGCCUGCGCGGAAGAUGUAACGGGGCUAAACCAUGCACCGAAGCUGCGGCAGCGACGCUUAGGCGUUGUUGGGUAGGGGAGCGUUCUGUAAGCCUGCGAAGGUGGCCUGUGAGGGCUGCUGGAGGUAUCAGAAGUGCGAAUGCUGACAUAAGUAACGAUAAAGCGGGUGAAAAGCCCGCUCGCCGGAAGACCAAGGGUUCCUGUCCAACGUUAAUCGGGGCAGGGUAAGUCGACCCCUAAGGCGAGGCUGAAAAGCGUAGUCGAUGGGAAACAGGUUAAUAUUCCUGUACUUGGUGUUAUUGCGAAGGGGGGACGGAGAAGGCUAGACCGGCCGGGCGACGGUUGUCCCGGUUUAAGCGUGUAGGUGGGGUGACUUGGCAAAUCCGGUUACCUUUAACACUGAGGCGUGAUGACGAGGCACUACGGUGCUGAAGUGGUUAAUGCCCUGCUUCCAGGAAAAGCCUCUAAGCUCCAGAUAACACUGAAUCGUACCCCAAACCGACACAGGUGGUCAGGUAGAGAAUACCAAGGCGCUUGAGAGAACUCGGGUGAAGGAACUAGGCAAAAUGGUGCCGUAACUUCGGGAGAAGGCACGCUGGCACGUAGGUGAAGUCCCUCGCGGAUGGAGCCGAAGCCAGUCGAAGAUACCAGCUGGCUGCAACUGUUUAAUAAAAACACAGCACUCUGCAAACACGAAAGUGGACGUAUAGGGUGUGACGCCUGCCCGGUGCUGGAAGGUUAAUUGAUGGGGUCAGCCGCAAGGCGAAGCUCUUGAUCGAAGCCCCAGUAAACGGCGGCCGUAACUAUAACGGUCCUAAGGUAGCGAAAUUCCUUGUCGGGUAAGUUCCGACCUGCACGAAUGGCGUAAUGAUGGCCAGGCUGUCUCCACCCGAGACUCAGUGAAAUUGAACUCGCUGUGAAGAUGCAGUGUACCCGCGGCAAGACGGAAAGACCCCGUGAACCUUUACUAUAGCUUGACACUGAACAUUGAACCUUGAUGUGUAGGAUAGGUGGGAGGCUUUGAAGUGUGGACGCCAGUCUGCAUGGAGCCGACCUUGAAAUACCACCCUUUAAUGUUUGAUGUUCUAACCUGGUCCCGUGAUCCGGGAUAGGGACAGUGUCUGGUGGGUAGUUUGACUGGGGCGGUCUCCUCCCAAAGAGUAACGGAGGAGCACGAAGGUUAGCUAAUCCUGGUCGGACAUCAGGAGGUUAGUGCAAAGGCAUAAGCUAGCUUGACUGCGAGAGUGACGGCUCGAGCAGGUGCGAAAGCAGGUCUUAGUGAUCCGGUGGUUCUGAAUGGAAGGGCCAUCGCUCAACGGAUAAAAGGUACUCCGGGGAUAACAGGCUGAUACCGCCCAAGAGUUCAUAUCGACGGCGGUGUUUGGCACCUCGAUGUCGGCUCAUCACAUCCUGGGGCUGAAGUAGGUCCCAAGGGUAUGGCUGUUCGCCAUUUAAAGUGGUACGCGAGCUGGGUUUAGAACGUCGUGAGACAGUUCGGUCCCUAUCUGCCGUGGGCGUUGGAAGAUUGAGAGGGGCUGCUCCUAGUACGAGAGGACCGGAGUGGACGCACCGCUGGUGUUCGGGUUGUGAUGCCAAUUGCAUUGCCCGGUAGCUACGUGCGGAAAAGAUAAGCGCUGAAAGCAUCUAAGCGCGAAACUUGCCUCGAGAUGAGUCUUCCCUUGGACCUUGAGUCCACUAAAGGAACGUUUAAGACUAAGACGUUGAUAGGCUGGGUGUGUAAGCGUAGCGAUACGUUGAGCUAACCAGUACUAAUGAUCCGUGAGACUUAACCUU